UGAUUAGCCAAGCAUGGGAAGUUUGCAACGUAAGCCCCUUUGCCCUCGUUUUUAGUCGAGUUUGCAAGUGUACAAUUAUGUUCACUUUGGGGCCUGAAACUCCCCAUAAUUCAAUUUACGACGAUUGUACAUCCGCAAAGAAAAGUCCGCCAAAUUAAAGCCUCAACGUCAAUAUAGUCAACAUACAAGUGAAUUCACGCACAGAACGAGCAGUAUGGCUGGUGGCAUUGUCAUGCUGGAGGGUCAUGUCAGGAUGAGUCUGCAGGAAGGGUACCACAUGAGGGAGGAGGAUGUCUUCCCUGGAACGCACAGCGUUGAGAUUGCCUGCAAUGACAACAAGCUCAGUCCGAUGAUGCUGUGACACACCGCCCCAGACCAUGAUGGACCCUCCACCUCCAAAUCGAUCCCGCUCCAGAGUACAGGCCUCGGUGUAAUGCUCAUUCCUUCAACGAUAAACGCGAAUCCGACCAUCACCCCUAGUGAGACAAAACCACGACUCGUCAGUGAAGAGCACUUUUUUCCAGUCCUGUCUGGUCCAGCGACGGUGGGUUUGUGCCCAUAGGCGAUGUUGUUUCCGGUGAGGACCUGCCUACAAGCGCUCAGUCCAGCCUCUCUCAGCCUAUUACGGACAGUCUGAGCACUGAUGGGGGGAUUGUGCGUUCCUGGUGUAACUCAGGCAGUUGUUGUUGUCAUCCUGUACCUGUCCCGCAGGUGUGAUGUUCGGAUGUACCAAUCCUGUGUAGGUGUUGUUACAUGUGGUCUGCCACUGUGUGGACGAUCAGCUGUCCGUCCUGUCUCCCUGUAGCGCUGUCUUAGGUGUCUCACAGUACGGACAUUGCAAUUUAUUGCCCUUCAGUCCUCAUGCUUCCUUGCAGCAUGCCUAAGGCACGUUCACACAGAUGAGCAGGGACCCUGGGCAUCUUUCUUUUGGUGUUUUUCAGAGUCAGUAGAAAGGUCUCUUUAGUGUCCUAAGUUUUCAGAACUGUGACCUUAAUUGCCUACCGUCUGUAAGCUGUUAGUGUCUU
rnacentral:lncRNA from 1 species